rnacentral:rRNA from 1 species
AUUGAACGCUGGCGGCAGGCCUAACACAUGCAAGUCGAGCGGAGCGGCGGACGGGUGAGUAAUGACUAGGAAUCUGCCUGUUAGUGGGGGAUCACGUCCGGCAACGGGCGCUAAUACCGCAUACUAUCAGAUCAGCCUAGGUCGGAUUAGCUAGUUGGUGGGGUAAAGGCCUACCAAGGCGACGAUCCGUAACUGGUCUGAGAGGAUGAUCAGUCACACUGGAACUGAGACAAGGUCCAGAUGCCUAAGGGAGGCAGCAGUGGGGAAUAUUGGACAAUGGGCGAAAGCCUGAUCCAGCCAUGCCGCGUGUGUGAAGAAGGUCUUCGGAGUGUAAAGCACUUUAAGUUGGGAGGCGUUACCAACAGAAUAAGCAACGGCUAACUUCGUGCCAGCCGCCGCGGUAAUAC